rnacentral:rRNA from 1 species
CACGUGGGUGAUCUGCCCUGCACUUCGGGAUAAGCCUGGGAAACUGGGUCUAAUACCGGAUAUGACCUCCUAUCGCAUGGUGGGUGGUGGAAAGAUUUAUCGGUGCAGGAUGGGCCCGCGGCCUAUCAGCUUGUUGGUGGGGUAAUGGCCUACCAAGGCGACGACGGGUAGCCGGCCUGAGAGGGUGACCGGCCACACUGGGACUGAGACACGGCCCAGACUCCUACGGGAGGCAGCAGUGGGGAAUAUUGCACAAUGGGCGAAAGCCUGAUGCAGCGACGCCGCGUGAGGGAUGACGGCCUUCGGGUUGUAAACCUCUUUCAGCAGGGACGAAGCGCAAGUGACGGUACCUGCAGAAGAAGCACCGGCUAACUACGUG